rnacentral:lncRNA from 1 species
GAAAGUGAUUUGAACAAUGGAGGUUUUGCUCUAGAAAGUUGCCUGCAGCCUGUAGACAUUUCAGAAGAGAUUCUCUGUUUCACUGAUAACACAUAUUGUGUGGCUCCUGCAGAAAGAAACAAUCCUGUUAGCUUCUUCAGAACUCCUCAUUUGGAAGCCAUGGCAUUUCCUGUGCAGUUUCCUACCGGGCAAAAUACACUGGAUGAAAAGAGACGUCUUAAACUCACACCAAGUGCUUACUUCAAGUCAAGGCUUUUCAACAUUGAUGCAAGAUUUGCUAAAGACACAAAUUACCUGUUUUUCUCACAGUUUGUCACUGAGAUACACCUGGCUAAUUCCAGCAUGACAAUACAGCUAAGGAAAGGUAAAACUAUGACCAAAGAUGGACGCAAAAUAACAUCAGGAAUGUUACAAAGUAAGACAGAAGUAGAGAAGCUGGUAAGAAAUAAAGAUGCAAUCAGAUUUAUGCAGCCACUCAGAGGAACUCCAGCUUACUGGCAGAAAACCACCAAAGAUCUAUUCAGUAUGGUUCGUCAAAUAGGAACACCUCAGUUCUUUGUCACUUUCUCUGCUGCUGAGAUGAGAUGGCCUGAAGUGAUUCAAGCAAUAAAGAGACAGCAAGGUGAAGAGGUUGAUUUUGAAGCCCUGGACUGGUCAGAAAAGUGUGAAAUUCUAAGAUCAAAUCCAGUAACCACGAUGCGAAUGUUUGAUAAACGUGUUGAGGCUUUGUUCAGAGAUUUGCUUUUUUCUCCUGCACAGCCCCUUGGUGAAAUCAUUGAUUACUUUUACAGAGUUGAGUUCCAGCACAGAGGUAGUCCGCAUAUACACAUGUUGCUGUGGAUUCGAGAAAAGGUAGAAGUAGAUGUGGAUGAUGACCAAACUGUCUGUGACUUUGUGGACAGAUACAUCUCAGCUCAACUUCCUGAUCCAGAAAAACAGCCUGAACUGCACAAAAAAGUCGCUGAACUACAAAAGCACAGCAAAAACCACACAAAGACAUGCUUUAAGAGUGUGAACUCUGGUUGUAGAUUUGGGUUUCCAAAACCACCA